GACUAACUACGAUAAGCUUUGGUGAGCGGUAAGUACGCUAUGACCCAAAGAUUUCCGAAUGGGGAAACCCAACUCGUAAGAGUUGUCUGUAUCUGAAUACAUAGGAUAUUUGACGGAAUACGCUGUGAACUGAAACAUCUCAUUAGCAGCAGGAGCAGAAAGAAAAAUCGAUUCCCUAAGUAGCGGCGAGCGAACGGGGAAGAGCCCAAACCAACGUGCUUGCAUGUUGGGGUUGUAGGACUGAUAUAUAAGAGUUACAAAAGUGUUUUAUAGCAGAACAAGUUGGGAAACUUGGCUAUAGAGGGUGAUAGCCCCGUAAGCGAAAUGAAGCACACUCUUUUCAGGAUCCUGAGUACGGCCGGACACGUGAAAUCCGGUCGGAAUCUGCGGGGACCAUCCCGUAAGGCUAAAUACUCCCUAGUGACCGAUAGUGAACCAGUACCGUGAGGGAAAGGUGAAAAGCACCCCGGAAGGGGAGUGAAAUAGUUCCUGAAACCACGACGCCUACAAGAAGUCAGAGCCCGUUAAUGGGUGAUGGCGUGCCUUUUGUAGAAUGAACCGGCGAGUUACGGUAUCGUGCGAGGUUAAGGUGGAAAGACCGGAGCCGCAGCGAAAGCGAGUGUGAAUAGCGCGAAUAGUACGAUGCUGUAGACCCGAAACCAAGUGACCUACCCAUGGUCAGGAUGAAGGUGAGGUAAAACUUACUGGAGGUCCGAACCGGUGCAUGUUAAAAAAUGCUCGGAUGAACUGUGGGUAGCGGUGAAAUUCCAAACGAACUUGGAGAUAGCUGGUUCUCUCCGAAAUAGCUUUAGGGCUAGCCUCAUUAUAAGCAUACUGGAGGUAGAGCACUGUUAAGCCUAGGGGCCCAUCUCGGGUUACCAAAGUUUGAUAAACUCCGAAUGCCAGAUAUGUAUGAAUGGGAGUCAGCCCAGAUCGCCAGUUAAGGUCCCUAAAUAUAUGUUAAGUGGAAAACGAUGUGAUAGUGCAUAGACAACUAGGAUGUUGGCUUAGAAGCAGCCACCAUUUAAAGAGUGCGUAAUAGCUCACUAGUCGAGUGCCAUUGCGCGGAAAAUGUACCGGGGCUAAACAUAUUACCGAAACUGCGGGUGCACGUAAGUGCGCGAUAGGAGAGCGUUGUAAGGGCGACGAAGGUAGAUCGUAAGGACUGCUGGAGCGCUUACAAGUGAGAAUGCCGGUAUGAGUAGCGAAAGACAGGUGAGAAUCCUGUCCACCGAAUGACUAAGGUUUCCUGGGGAAGGCUCGUCCACCCAGGGUUAGUCGGGACCUAAGGCGAGGCUGAGAAGCGUAGUCGAUGGAUAACAGGUUGAGAUUCCUGUACCAGUUGUAAUGCGUUAUUACCGAUGGAGGGACGCAGGAGGCUACCAGAUGCGCACUGAUGGAUAUGUGCGUGCAAGCAGUAAGUCUUGAAAAGAGUGAAAUGCUUUUUUCUAUAAGGACAAGCUGUGAUGCGGAUCGAAAUAAAGUAGAGAAGUCUGAGACGUCACACUGCCGAGAAAAGCUUCUAGGAAGUAUUACACUGCCCGUACCGCAAACCGACACAGGUAGUCGAGUGGAGAACACUAAGGUGAGCGAGAGAACCCUCGUUAAGGAACUCGGCAAAAUGACCCCGUAACUUCGGGAGAAGGGGUGCUCAUGGUAAAACAUGAGCCGCAGUGAAUAGGCCCAGGCGACUGUUUAUCAAAAACACAGGUUUCUGCAAAAUCGUAAGAUGAAGUAUAGGGGCUGACGCCUGCCCGGUGCUGGAAGGUUAAAAGGAGUGCUUAGUUUCGGCGAAGGUACGAAUUGAAGCCCCAGUAAACGGCGGCCGUAACUAUAACGGUCCUAAGGUAGCGAAAUUCCUUGUCGGGUAAGUUCCGACCCGCACGAAAGGCGUAACGAUCUGGGCACUGUCUCAACGAGGGACUCGGUGAAAUUUAAAUACCCGUGAAGAUGCGGGUUACCCGCGACAGGACGGAAAGACCCCAUGGAGCUUUACUGUAGCUUGAUAUUGAAUGUUUGUGCUGCUUGUACAGAAUAGGUAGGAGACGUAGAAGAUUGGACGCUAGUCUAGUCGGAGUCGCACGGUGGGAUACUACCCUCGUUGUAUGAACAUUCUAACACUGGUCACUCAACGUGAUCGUGGACAGUGUCUGGCGGGCAGUUUGACUGGGGCGGUCGCCUCCUAAAAGGUAACGGAGGCG
rnacentral:rRNA from 1 species